rnacentral:rRNA from 1 species
GUAUCCUGGCUCAGAUUGAACGCUGGCGGCAGGCCUAACACAUGCAAGUCGAACGGUAACAGGAAACAGCUUGCUGUUUCGCUGACGAGUGGCGGACGGGUGAGUAAUGUCUGGGAAACUGCCUGAUGGAGGGGGAUAACUACUGGAAACGGUAGCUAAUACCGCAUAAUGUCGCAAGACCAAAGAGGGGGGACCUUCGGGCCGUCUUGCCAUCGGAUGUGCCCAGAUGGAGUUAGCUAGUAGGU